UGAAACUAGAAUCCUUCAUUUAGUGCU
rnacentral:piRNA from 1 species